CUCUCUUCAAUUUUUUAACGAAAUUUUUUGUUCCAUGUUUCAGUGCGAGACUCAAACAGUGCGCCAGCGCGGGGCCCUAAAGAGCCCAAGUCCCCCACCAAACGCGAGGGCCCCAAUAAAGCUGGGCCCAGAUGUUUUUUUUUGUUCCCUGUUUCAGUGCGGGGCCCCAAAGAGCCCAAGGUCCCCAGAAAACAUCAGUCCCCAAAAUUUAAAAAUCGAGGCCCCAAAUAGUCGGGCCCGAAACGUUUUUUUUUUUCUUUUUCCUGUUUCAUCGCAGGAUCCAAACAGCGCGGGGCCCCAAAGAGUCCAAGGCCCCUAAAAGCGAAGCCCCCAAAUAAAAAAAACCCACAAGUUUGUUCCUUCUCUGGGCAAGGGGCUCCAAAGAGCUCGAGGCCAAAAAAAUCAUAGGGGUCAGAAAAUAUCAAAAUUUGCAGUAAACAGUUAAAUACUAAAAGAUUGCGAAAUCUUGUGGAAGAUGGCAGAAGUUCAUAUGGACGGUAUCAUGUUUAGUUAUUUCUCCCCUGCAAGUAAUAAUAAUGUUAAUGGUAUAAACUGGGUUGAAAUUCAGUUCGAUCAAAUUAUUGAUGUUUAUUAUAUAAAGUAUAGUGCUUUAUAGAGAUUUCGAGCACUGAUGAAAGUGAUAAUCUCACAUGUGAGAUUAUUCAUGAUAAUCUCACAUGUGAAAAUUAUCGCUUUUCAAUUAGGGACUGGUCAUAAAGUAACUGUGAGGUAAAUCACAAAUUUUGCCAAUACGUUCGGUGACCCAUCUUAGGAUGUAGAUAAAAAUUUCAAAGCCCAUCUAAUCUUACAAAAAAUUUUUCAUGACCCACUCAAUCUAAAUUGGGAAAAUACACUUUUAUAAUAAAAAAAAACUUGCAGGUAUGAACAUUGUAAAUAUACACGGCACUGUAUUGACAUACGUAAUUCCACCAAGCUUGACCAACACAUUGAUACUGAACUGCUCUCCAGUUGGUUGUAUUUGCUGUGAUUCGACCACUUUUUGUUGUUGUAUAAACAAAGUACUUGCUUCAAUAGCAUCAUUUGCAUUUGAUAAUUUGGAUAGUUUUGUUUACUCUUAUUAUUAAUAUCUUUAUUUUUUAAAGUAGACAUGCAUGGGUUUUUGUUUGGUGGCCCAACCGUGGACAUACAAAAAAAUUGGCGGCCCAUCGAAACUGCUCAAAGCUUUUUCAUGGCCCAUUCCAAAUCACUCCAGCCCACCCUAGCAGUUACUUUAUGACCGG